rnacentral:rRNA from 1 species
GAAAAAGCCAUGCUAGUUGUGCGGGAAAAGAGGGGCAGCGGUUUGCACAGUAACACGUGGGGUUGCAUGGCUGUGGACGGGAAUUUUGUCCCCUUUCUGAGGCUAAUUCCCAAUAACGCUUCACCCCUGGAAUGGGUGAAGCCGGAAACGUUCCGACGCCACAGGAUGCGGCUGCGGUCGAUUAGGUAGACGGUGGGGUAACGGCCCACCGUGCCUAUAAUCGGUACGGGUUGUGAGAGCAAGAGCCCGGAGACGGAAUCUGAGACAAGAUUCCGGGCCCUACGGGGCGCAGCAGGCGCGAAACCAAAACACUGUACGCAAGUGCGAUAAGGGGACUCCGAGUGUGAAGGCAUAGAGCCUUCACAAAAGUACACCGUGGGGUGGUGUACGAAUAAGGACUGGGCAAGACCGGUGCCAGCCGCCGCGGUAAUACCGGCAGUCCGAGUGAUGGGGGAUUAAUAACCCCCUAAAGCGUCCGUAGCUGGCUAGACAAGUCCGUUGGGAAAUCUGCCCGCUUAACCCCCAGGCGUCCAGCGGAAACUGUCUAGCUUGGGACCGGAAGACCUGAGGGGUACGUCUGGGGUAGGAGUGAAAUCCUGUAAUUUUGGACGGACCGCCGGUGGCGAAAGCGCCUCAGGAGAACGGAUCCGACAGUGAGGGACGAAAGCUACCCUCUCGAACCGGAUUAGAUACCCGGGUAGUCCUAGCUGUAAACGAUGUCCGCUAGGUGUGGCGCAGGCUACGAGCCUGCGCUGUGCCGUAGGGAAGCCGAGAAGCGGACCGCCUGGGAAGUACGUCUGCAAGGAUGAAACUUUUUCCAAUUGGCGGGGGAGCACUACAACCGGAGGAGCCUGCGGAAAAUUUGGACUCAACGCCGGACAUCUGAGGAGGGGGGACAGUAGUAAUGACGGUCAGGUUGAUGACCUUACCCGAUGCUACUCACACCUCCCCGGCGUCAGCUCGUACCGUGAGGCGUCCUGUUAAGUCAGGCAACGAGCGAGACCCGCACUCCUAAUUGCCAGCAGUACCCUUUGGGUAGCUGGGUACAUUAGGGGGACUGCCGCUGCUAAAGCGGAGGAAGGAACCCCCAACGGUAGGUCAGUAUGCCCCGAAUGGGCUGGGCAACACGCGGGCUACAAUGGUCGAGACAAUGGGAAGCCACUCCGAGAGGAGGCGCUAAUCUCCUAAACUCGAUCGUAGUUCGGAUUGAGGGCUGAAACUCGCCCUCAUGUUGCUGGAUUCGGUAGUAAUCGCGUGUCAGCAGCGCGCGGUGAAUACGUCCCUGCUCCUUGCACACACCGGGCGUCAAAUCACCCGAGUGGGGUUCGGAUGAGGCCGGCAUACGCCGGUCAAAUCUGGGCUCCGCAACCCCCCAUUAAGUCGUAACAAG